GUGGUAAUGCCGGAUGCUCCAGUUGAUCGCAUGGUCUUCUGGGAAAGCUUUCGCGGUAUGGGAUGGGGUCGCGUCCUAUCAGCUUGACGGCGGGGUAACGGCCCACCGUGGCUUCGACGGGUAGCCGGCCUGAGAGGGCGACCGGCCACAUUGGGACUGAGAUACGGCCCAGACUCCUACGGGAGGCAGCAGUGGGGAAUAUUGCACAAUGGGCGCAAGCCUGAUGCAGCGACGCCGCGUGAGGGAUGGAGGCCUUCGGGUUGUAAACCUCUUUUAUCGGGGAGCAAGCGUGAGUGAGUUUACCCGUUGAAUAAGCACCGGCUAACUACGUGCCAGCAGCCGCGGUAAUACGUAGGGUGCAAGCGUUAUCCGGAAUUAUUGGGCGUAAAGGGCUCGUAGGCGGUUCGUCGCGUCCGGUGUGAAAGUCCAUCGCUUAACGGUGGAUCCGCGCCGGGUACGGGCGGGCUUGAGUGCGGUAGGGGAGACUGGAAUUCCCGGUGUAACGGUGGAAUGUGUAGAUAUC
rnacentral:rRNA from 2 species